UCUAAUCUAAUCUAAUCUAAUCUAAUCUAAUCAACAUGGCAGCAUCAUGCUUUCCUUCAGUCGUUACAGAGAAGCUAGUGCUAAUAGAAAAAUGGAGGAUGUUUUAUUUAAAAGAAAAAUAUUAACAGGUUGCACAAAGCUUCAGACUAUUGCUGCAGUUCAUCUUCAAGUCUACAGCGUAAUGUUUUAGGUCAUAUUCAUCUGUCAGAAUGACCUAGUUAAAGUCCGGAUUGAAAACAAUUGAGAAUCUCUGGCAGGAUUUGAACACUGAUGUCCGGGAAGACUCUCUUGUCAGUCUACUGAGCUGGUUUUCAAGAAGAGCUGCCAAAUGAAUAUCAUCUGUACAAAACUGGUAGAAACGCCUCAAAACACCUGAUGCUGUAAUUGCAGCUAAUGCUGGAUCUGCACUUCACAGACUUUCAUUUGUUGAAACAUUUGAACAUGCCACUUUCACGACCGAUGGCACAAGUACUUCUGCUCCGACUUGCUUAAGCUGGGAGAGAACUGAAUGAAGACGAGGACAGCAAAAGACCCGAUGACUCACUGCUUUGAUGUCACAUUGCAUGUGGAGCCUGAAGUUUUGUGACGAGCGAUAAAACCUUCCACAAUGUGGCCCCACAGACUCUAAACACAGGGCAGCGGGGCUCAAACCGAGCACUUCACCACAGAACUGCAGGCUGUGAUUCAUUCAUGCUCUGUGUGGCUGUAAACAAACUCUGCGAGCCGACCUCCACUUCCCCUUUCUGACAAACACCGACAUGAAACGACGUGGACGAGUGACCUUCCUGAACUUCCAGGAGAACUCAAGAAGUUGUGAAAGAAGACGAAGUGCUUCGGCUGAGCUGGACUUUAGGGACAAGUAAAGUUCUCAGCUUCCUUUUAACGGCUUUUGCCUUCGUAACAUUCACCCAGAGCUGCUGGGUGACACGCGUGACGAAUUGGAGUGCGUCCAACGCUAUAAAUUAUUGACGCCGAAAUGGAGAGACAGAUGGUGGUUCUCACAUCGGUUGCCGUCAAGAAAAUUAAAAAAUAAUUAGCUCAGGAUAUAAUCUGAACUAAGUUCUGAUGGUUUUCUUGUAAAAUAUUAGUAGGGGGAAAAAAUUGUUUCUAACAAUAAUUUCAGCUAAGCAAACAAACCGUUUUGGAAGCGGUUUAUGCAGAUUAUGAUUUAGUUUUUUGGGGGAGUCUGAACUCCAGAAUAUUCAACAUUCAAAUUUUAAAAAUAGAAAAAUAUAUGACAUCUUAAUAGAGAAUACUUAUCCAAGUAUAAGUGGGGGAAGUGUGUAUAUAUUUGGAUAAUUAUACCAUUCAUGUCAAUGAUCAGCAAAUGUAAUUUUGCCACUGGCUGUAAAUACUUAAAUAAACUUUCAAAAUAAUUGUUUAUUCUGGAUGAUGUACUGGAGAACAAUUAGUGAACCAAUAGAUCUACAGCUAUGCUUUUGGUGUUACUUCCUGUCUCUUUCAGCCACAAAUGGGAUUCUGUGGUGAAGCCCUCCUGUAGUUGCAGUGCUUGUUUUGAGUUAAGAGAGUUGAGACAACAUGGAGGAUUCUUGUUUAUCUUAAUUCCGUCCGCAUAGUGACACCUCCCUCUGUGCUGCUUUGCUCUGUGCAACACGCGUCAUCAUCUGGCAUUGUUUAAAUGUAAGUUUUCGAUACUUCAGCCGUCAAACCGUGCAGCCAGACAUGAUAAACCACCAGGGGUUUCAACACAGCCGGUGCCUCCUGCCCUCAUGGC